rnacentral:rRNA from 1 species
GAGUUUGAUCGUGGCUCAGGAUGAACGCUAGCGGCAGGCUUAAUACAUGCAAGGCGAAGGGGCAGCAAUGUCACUGUCGUACGGGUGCGUAACGCGUAUGCAACCUACCUAUCACUGGGGGAUAGCCCGGGGAAACCCGGAUUAAUACCGCAUAAAACAGGGGCACCGCAUGGUGAUAUUUGUUAAAGAUUUAUUGGUGAUAGAUGGGCAUGCGUUCGAUUAGCUAGUUGGCGGGGUAACGCCCACCAAGGCGACGAUCGAUAGGGGAGCUGAGAGGUUGAUCCCCCACACGGGCACUGAGAUACGGGCCCGACUCCUACGGGAGGCAGCAGUAGGGAAUAUUGGGCAAUGGAUGCAAGUCUGACCCAGCCAUGCCGCGUGCCGGAUGAAGGCCCUCAGGGUUGUAAACGGCUUUUAUUCGGGAAGAAGAGCAGGGAUGCGUCCUUGUGUGACGGUACCGAAUGAAUAAGCACCGGCUAACUCCGUGCCAGCAGCCGCCGUAAC